rnacentral:rRNA from 1 species
UACGUAGGGCGCAAGCGUUGUCCGGAAUUAUUGGGCGUAAAGAGCUCGUAGGCGGUUCGGUAAGUCGGGUGUGAAAACUCUGGGCUCAACCCAGAGACGCCACCCGAUACUGCUGUGACUAGAGUGCGGUAGGGGAGCGGGGAAUUCCUGGUGUAGCGGUGAAAUGCGCAGAUAUCAGGAGGAACACCAGUGGCGAAGGCGCCGCUCUGGGCCGUGACUGACGCUGAGGAGCGAAAGCGUGGGUAGCAAACAGG